ACUCCGUACGGGAGGCAGCAGUAGGGAAGUAUUGCACAAGUGGGGAAACCCUGAUGCAGCCCAUGCCGCGUGUGUGAAAAGAAAGGGCCCUUUCGGGUUGUAAAGCACUUUCAGUAGGGAGGAAGGUAGUGUAGUUAACACCUGCAUUAUUUGACGUUACCUACAGAAGAAGCACCGGCUAACUCCGUGCCAGCAGCCGCGGUAAUACGGAGGGUGCGAGCGUUAAUCGGAAUUACUGGGCGUAAAGCGCAUGCAGGCGGCCUGUUAAGUCAGAUGUGAAAGCCCGGGGCUUAACCUCGGAAUUGCAUUUGAAACUGGCAGGCUAGAGUCUUGUAGAGGGGGUAGAAUUUCAGGUGUAGCGGUGAAAAUGCGUAGAGAUCUGAAGGAAUACCAGUGGCGAAGGCGGCCCCCUGGACAAAGACUGACGCUCAGAUGCGAAAGCGU
rnacentral:rRNA from 1 species